rnacentral:lncRNA from 1 species
GAAUGCUUGAAUUUCUGGACUACCAAGAGAGAAUGAUAUCUUGAGGAAGUUGUUCAGGAAUUUGACUGGGAUUUAGUUGAAGAAUUCCUCCUAGGCUUUCCUCCCUAGAACAGAAUUUGACUUGAGAUAAACCUUUCAGUGGAAAAAUAGGAGGGCACGAACUAUCUUUUCAGAUAUACUUCUGUCUGUGUCAUCAAUGCCUUUUUUUGCACUCACGACAUCAUCUCUUUCAUACUGGACUCCUUUUUGGGCAUCACAGCUAUGAACUGCUGGCUUUGCGUAUCAAACUGCAGAG